rnacentral:rRNA from 1 species
GUGCCAGCAGCCGCGGUAAUACGAAGGGGGCUAGCGUUGCUCGGAAUUACUGGGCGUAAAGGGAGCGUAGGCGGACAUUUAAGUCAGGGGUGAAAUCCCGGGGCUCAACCUCGGAAUUGCCUUUGAUACUGGGUGUCUUGAGUAUGAGAGAGGUGUGUGGAACUCCGAGUGUAGAGGUGAAAUUCGUAGAUAUUCGGAAGAACACCAGUGGCGAAGGCGACACACUGGCUCAUUACUGACGCUGAGGCUCGAAAGCGUGGGGAGCAAACAGGAUUAGAUA